rnacentral:rRNA from 1 species
UACGGAGGGUGCGAGCGUUGUCCGGAAUCACUGGGCGUAAAGGGCGCGUAGGCGGCCUGAUAAGUAGGGGGUGAAAUCCUGCGGCUUAACCGCAGGGCUGCCUUCUAAACUGUCGGGCUUGAGCACGGUAGAGGCAGAUGGAAUUCCCGGUGUAGCGGUGAAAUGCGUAGAGAUCGGGAGGAACAUCAGUGGCGAAGGCGGCCAUCUGGGACAACACUGACGCUGAAGCACGAAAGCGUGGGGAGCAAACAGG